UAGCUGCCCCAGGAGCCCUUUGGCCCCCACUGGCUGCUUCUCCUAUUUCAAUUUCCAUGUCCUCUCGGUUUUGUAACUCAAGGAGCUCCCCUGGCUUAGGAACAGCUGACAACUCCACAGCUCCCAGCAGUGGCACCUGGAGAAGGGGCGGAUGGGCACUGACUUGUGGGCGUGCUCUGGGGCACCCCGUCCCCAGCUGUCAUGAGUCAUUUACAAGGCUGUGAUUGUGUCAGGCUUCCAGCAUUCUCUGCACCCAGGAUCAAGUCAGGUUGGAGGAGCUUUUCCGACUCAGUCUAGGCGAACACUUCGGCUUUCCCAGGUACAGUCCUGGCUUCCACUCUGGGCUCUCAGUUUCCUCAUAUGUUUCAUGAGUUCAUCAUCAUCCUUAUAAGAUAAAGAUAAAGACCAACACCACCUAACAUUCACUGAGGAUUUACUAGGUAACAGGUGUUCUACUAAGUGUUUCCAAUUCAUAUUCUCAUCGAACCUCCACAACUACCCGAUUAAGAAGGCGUAAUCUCUGUCCCCAUUUUAUAGAUGAGGAAAGUGAAGUCUAGACAUAACUUACCUGUCCAAUGUCACACAGCUAGGAGUCUGCCAAAUUAAG
rnacentral:lncRNA from 1 species